UUUUCUUCUAUGAGAAAAAGUUCCUGGACUGUAAACGCAAUGAAAUCGCGUGGGAUGAGAUCCAGAAGUUUCUGGUCGGUUCUCGAGCCCAGCUCCCCGGGAUGAGCUUGAUUAACAGAGCCAGAAGCAGCGGUGGGUGCAACGAUCGGACAUGCCUUAUUACUUCACUAGUAGUAUUAGCAGUGAUAGUAACGGCGGUCACUGUGGC